CCCCUCUCAGGAUCGCACCUGGAGAGUUUCCAGUCCUCUACCAGUCUCGACUACGGGAGGGAAAGUCAAGCAGAGGUGUACCCGUUCCAUUCCUAGUUUGGGCAGUGGCUAGCGGCUGGAAGGUAAUCUACUACAAGU